UGAGCAAUCUGCCCUUCUCAUCGGAAUAAGCGUUGGAAACGACGUCUAAUGCCGAAUACGACCUCCUUUCGCAUGAUCGGAGGGAGANCGCGNGAGAG
rnacentral:rRNA from 1 species